GAUGAACGCUGGCGGCGUGCCUAAUACAUGCAAGUCGAGCGAACGGACGAGAAGCUUGCUUCUCUGAUGUUAGCGGCGGACGGGUGAGUAACACGUGGAUAACCUACCUAUAAGACUGGGAUAACUUCGGGAAACCGGAGCUAAUACCGGAUAAUAUUUUGAACCGCAUGGUUCAAAAGUGAAAGACGGUCUUGCUGUCACUUAUAGAUGGAUCCGCGCUGCAUUAGCUAGUUGGUAAGGUAACGGCUUACCAAGGCAACGAUGCAUAGCCGACCUGAGAGGGUGAUCGGCCACCCUGGAAGUGAGACACCGUCCAGACUCCUACGGGAGGCAGCAGUAGGGAAUCUUCCGCAAUGGGCGGAAGACUGCCGGAGCAACGCCGCGUGAGUGAUGCAGGUCUUCGGAUCGUAAAACUAUGUUAUUAGGGAAGACCAUAUGUGUAAGUAACUGUGAACAUCUUGACGGUACCUAAUCAGAAAGCCACGGCUAACUACGUG
rnacentral:rRNA from 1 species